rnacentral:lncRNA from 1 species
GAUUUGAUGAGUUUUCAUGAUUUGCAUCCUGUCGGAACUCUCGAUAGAAGAAAUUGAUCACACGAUAACUACACCUAAGGGUUUAGUUUUUUUAUUUUGCUGGAUUGCCACUACAUAUUGUUAGGCAUCACUGAUAGACUGUGAGAACUCACUAAGAUUAUUUUUAGAUCAACGAUCCUUGUUGAGUUGAGUUGAAAUUGAUCCAACCCAUCGAAAGGAGUUUAGAUGAUACUAUAAUGAAAAUCAUGAUAUGUCUCACUAUCAGAUAGAAUAGAAUCUGAG